rnacentral:rRNA from 1 species
CGGUAGCACAGAGAGCUUGCUCUCGGGUGACGAGUGGCGGACGGGUGAGUAAUGUCUGGGAAACUGCCUGAUGGAGGGGGAUAACUACUGGAAACGGUAGCUAAUACCGCAUAACGUCGCAAGACCAAAGAGGGGGACCUUCGGGCCUCUUGCCAUCAGAUGUGCCCAGAUGGGAUUAGCUUGUUGGUGAGGUAACGGCUCACCAAGGCGACGAUCCCUAGCUGGUCUGAGAGGAUGACCAGCCACACUGGAACUGAGACACGGUCCAGACUCCUACGGGAGGCAGCAGUGGGGAAUAUUGCACAAUGGGCGCAAGCCUGAUGCAGCCAUGCCGCGUGUAUGAAGAAGGCCUUCGGGUUGUAAAGUACUUUCAGCGGGGAGG